rnacentral:lncRNA from 1 species
GUAGCUACAACCAACCCGUGUCAUGCAGCUAUAAGCAACAAUUUGUUAUACGGUCGCCGAGUUUGUUCAAACAAACAGCCUUUUUUGAGUAUAGUAGGUCCGGCGUACUCGCGGGGCGAGAUUCUUUUCUUAGGCUAUAAAUGGAGGUCCUUUUGCGGAGGACUAUCACCGUCAUGUUCGGACACACGGAUAACUAAAUUUUUUGGUCUCCACAGGAUAUAACCAUCAAGAGGGAUGGGCACAGAAGUAAGGAUUCAUAGAAGAUAUGAUUUGAAAGGGCUUCGAAAAUGGAUGUGUAAAAUUUCAAGUUCUUUUAUCUUCUUCGGAUGCCGUUGCAGCAGGUGUCUGAACUGAUAUCAUAUUGACGUCUAUUACGAACUACAACUCAUAUUCCAUAUUAGUCUCUCGUUUUUUCAGCGACCAAGGCUGUGUGCUCGAAGAUGAGGAACAUGCCCGCGAAAAUCUCUACGUUAAGAAAAUGGAGAAACAGAAGCUAGAAGCGAAAGAGAAAACCGAUAAAGAGAAAGCUGACGAAAAGAAAACGUAAGGACGAAGUCACGAAGGACCGAGAGAACUAUAAGAAGAUCAAGAUGGAUCCAGCUUAAUCAGUUUUCGAAGCUUCAUGAUAUAUUGAACGUGUUUCGGUCAAGCCUGUAGCACAACUCGUGCUAAUGGCAUUUUCUUCCGUUUUUAAGAUUCUUACAUAAUAUUUUCUUGCAGUAUUGAUCAACACAUUUUCUGUUUGUCAUUUGAGAUUUUCUACCAUCUCAUUUCCAAUCUCUUUUCUGUAAUCUGUUUAGAUGUUUGACUCAUUUU